GUCUAUAGCUAUGCUACCCUGAACAAGCUCGAUCCUGUCUGAUCUCGGAAGCUAAGCAGAGUCGGACUUGGUUAGUACUUGGAUGGAAGACGCUAAGCAGAGUCGGACC
rnacentral:rRNA from 1 species